rnacentral:rRNA from 1 species
AACGAACGCUGGCGGCAUGCCUAACACAUGCAAGUCGAACGAGACCUUCGGGUCUAGCGGCGCACGGGUGCGUAACGCGUGGGAACCUGCCCUUAGGUUCGGAAUAACUCCCCGAAAGGGGUGCUAAUACCGGAUAAUGUCUUCGGACCAAAGAUUUAUCGCCUUUGGAUGGGCCCGCGUUGGAUUAGCUAGUUGGUAGGGUAAAAGCCUACCAAGGCGACGAUCCAUAGCUGGUCUGAGAGGAUGAUCAGCCACACUGGGACUGAGACACGGCCCAGACUCCUACGGGAAGCAGCAGUGGGGAAUAUUGGACAAUGGGCGAAAGCCUGAUCCAGCAAUGCCGCGUGAGUGAUGAAGGCCUUAGGGUUGUAAAGCUCUUUUACCCGGGAUGAUAAUGACAGUACCGGGAGAAUAAGCGCCGGCUAACUCCGUG